AUUGAACGCUGGCGGCAGGCCUAACACAUGCAAGUCGAACGAGUGGCGGACGGGUGAGUAAUGUCUGGGAAACUGCCCGAUGGAGGGGGAUAACUACUGGAAAAGGUAGCUAAUACCGCAUACCAUCGGAUGUGCCCAGAUGGGAUUAGCUUGUAGGGGAGGUAACGGCUCACCUAGGCGACGAUCCAUAGCUGUUCUGAGAGGAUGACCAGCCACACUGGAACUGAGACGCGGUCCAGACUCCGACGGGAGGGAGCAGUGGGGAAGAUUGGACAAUGGGCGAAAGCCUGAGGCAGGCAUGCCGCGUGUAUGAAGAAGGCCUUCGGGUUGUAAAGUACUUUCAGCGGAGAGGCGUUACCAGCAGAAGAAGCACCUGCUAACUCCGUGCCAGCAGCCGCGGUAAUUC
rnacentral:rRNA from 1 species